rnacentral:rRNA from 1 species
UAACACAUGCAAGUCGAGCGGUAACAGAGAGUAGCUUGCUACUCUGCUGACGAGCGGCGGACGGGUGAGUAAUGCUUGGGAAUAUGCCUUAUGGUGGGGGACAACAGUUGGAAACGACUGCUAAUACCGCAUGAUGUCUACGGACCAAAGUGGGGGACCUUCGGGCCUCACGCCAUAAGAUUAGCCCAAGUGGGAUUAGCUAGUUGGUGAGGUAAUGGCUCACCAAGGCGACGAUCCCUAGCUGGUUUGAGAGGAUGAUCAGCCACACUGGGACUGAGACACGGCCCAGACUCCUACGGGAGGCAGCAGUGGGGAAUAUUGCACAAUGGGCGCAAGCCUGAUGCAGCCAUGCCGCGUGUGUGAAGAAGGCCUUCGGGUUGUAAAGCACUUUCAGUAAGGAGGAAAGGUUAAGUGUUAAUAGCACUUAGCUGUGACGUUACUUACAGAAGAAGCACCGGCUAACUCCGUGCCAGCAGCCCGCGGUAAUACGGAGGGUGCGAGCCGUUAAUCGGAAUUACUGGGCGUAAAGCGUACGCAGGCGGUUUGUUAANCGAGAUGU